GUGCUUGCUUCGGCAGCACAUAUACAAAAAUUGGAACGAUACAGCGAAGAUUAGCACGGCCCCUGCGCAAAGAUGACACGCAAAUUCAUGAAGCGUUCCAUAUUUUU